rnacentral:tRNA from 1 species
GUCUGUCUGGCUUAAUCAGUAGAGCAUGUAACUCUUAAUCUUGAGGUUGUGAGUUCAAGCCCCACGUUGGGCA